AAGGAUAAACGGAAACCGACGCUGACUUAAAUGUCAAAUUUGUAAUCAAAAGUUUUGUUUAGUUUUGAGUGUGGUACUUUUAAAUAGGUAUCAUAGUCAAGAAUGCCUAUGGGGAAUUAGCUCAGCUGGGAGAGCACCUGCUUUGCAAGCAGGGGGUCAGCGGUUCGAUCCCGCUAUUCUCCAUAGCCGAUGUCGUAAGAUGUUGGCGUGAUGAACAUUGAAAACUGAAUAGUAACAAAUUCUUUUUUUGAAAGAUAUCGAAAGAUAUCAAAAAAAUUGAACCGAGAAACAACAUCAAGUUCUUUAAUAAAGAACGGUUUAAUCGCAGGUUGUGUUAAAGCAACCAACUCAUAAACUGAUCGAUAGCACUGUGAGGUGUUAUCC
rnacentral:tRNA from 1 species